AAUAAAUGAUGAAUGAAUGAAUGAGACAAUCAAUCCAUGAAGAGCGAGAAAACAAAAUACCAGCCAGUAUGAGUAAGAAACAUAACCCUAAUAUGUCAAAGCCACAGAGUGUCAAAACCAGCAUGUAAGGUCUCGUUAAAGGAACAGAUUAUCAAUUAAGAGAGCUGAAUUACAACUAAAAAGGAAGAAAAGAAAAGGAGAAAGGUAAGGAAAUAAGAAACAGCACACCGUCAUGAAGAGCCACACUAUUACAAGAGAGAGACGUCAUGAAUAAAUUGAAUUAAAGAAUAUCAGAGAAUAUCAAGAUACCUAAAAAAUAAAUAUCAGGAAUGUACAGACAACAAAAAUAAAAUCAAAGUCAAAAGGCGAUAAUGAGAUGAAUAAAGGGCAAUAACAGCGAUAACGUGACACAAAUAAUUAAAAUCUAGAAAAUAUACAUAUAUUAAAAUAUAGGAAAAAAUAUAUAAUAUAGAAU